rnacentral:rRNA from 1 species
UACGUAGGGGGGCUAGCGUUGUCCGGAAUCAUUGGGCGUAAAGCGCGCGUAGGCGGCCCGGUAAGUCCGCUGUAAAAGUCAAAGGCUCAACCUUUGAAUGUCAGUGGAUACUGCCGGGCUAGAGUCCGGAAGAGGCGAGUGGAACUCCUGGUGUAGCGGUGGAAUGCGCAGAUAUCAGGAAGAACACCGACGGCGAAGGCAGCUCGCUGGGACGGUACUGACGCUGAGGCGCGAAAGCUAGGGGGAGCGAACGGGG